UGACAUGAUGAUUUAAUUUGGAAUCUCGUUCGUCUGAAUGAUACUGAUGUGAAGCUUUUAUCUGAUGGUC
rnacentral:snoRNA from 1 species